rfam:Gossypium raimondii Chr01_contig_988, whole genome shotgun sequence.
AAACCAUGUAUCAGGCAUUUUCUAAUUAGUUCCUUAAAACAUUCCCAAGCUUCAUAUAAUGUCUCAUCUCUAGAUUGCUUGAAUGAUGUAAUGUCGUUCUAAGCUU